rnacentral:tRNA from 1 species
UAGCUCAGUGGUAGAGCGCCUGCCUAGCAAGCACAAGGCCCUGGGUUCGGUCCCCAG